rnacentral:rRNA from 1 species
UACGGGGGGAGCAAGCGUUGUUCGGAUUUACUGGGCGUAAAGGGCGCGUAGGCGGCCAGCACAAGUCAGUUGUGAAAUCUCCGAGCUUAACUCGGAAAGGUCAACUGAUACUGUGCGGCUAGAGUGCGGAAGGGGCAACUGGAAUUCUUGGUGUAGCGGUGAAAUGCGUAGAUAUCAAGAGGAACACCUGCGGCGAAGGUGGGUUGCUGGGCCGACACUGACGCUGAGGCGCGAAAGCCAGGGGAGCGGACGGG